rnacentral:rRNA from 1 species
GACGAACGCUGGCGGCAUGCCUAAUACAUGCAAGUAGAACGCUGAAGAGAGGAGCUUGCUCUUCUUGGAUGAGUUGCGAACGGGUGAGUAACGCGUAGGUAACCUGCCUUGUAGCGGGGGAUAACUAUUGGAAACGAUAGCUAAUACCGCAUAACAAUGGAUGACCCAUGUCAUUUAUUUGAAAGGGGCAAAUGCUCCACUACAAGAUGGACCUGCGUUGUAUUAGCUAGUAGGUGAGGUAACGGCUCACCUAGGCGACGAUACAUAGCCGACCUGAGAGGGUGAUCGGCCACAUUGGGACUGAGACACGGCCCAGACUCCUACGGGAGGCAGCAGUAGGGAAUCUUCGGCAAUGGGGGCAACCCUGACCGAGCAACGCCGCGUGAGUGAAGAAGGUUUUCGGAUCGUAAAGCUCUGUUGUAAGUCAAGAACGAGUGUGAGAGUGGAAAGUUCACACUGUGACGGUAGCUUACCAGAAAGGGACGGCUAACUACGUG